rnacentral:rRNA from 1 species
UUAAAGAGGUACGCGAGCUGGGUUUAGAACGUCGUGAGACAGUUCGGUCCCUAUCUACCGUGGGCGUUGGAAAUUUGAGAGGAUCUGCUCCUAGUACGAGAGGACCAGAGUGGACGAACCUCUGGUGUUUCGGUUGUGACGCCAGUCGCAUUGCCGAGUUGCUAUGUUCGGAUGGGAUAACCGCUGAAAGCAUCUAACCGGGAAGCCCACCUCAAGAUAAGAUUUCUCU